GAACGCGAAAGGGAGCAAUCCCCGGUAGCGUGGCAGACGGGUGAGUAACACGUGGGUAACCUACCCGGAGGUGGGGGAUAACCCUUCGAAAGGAGGGCUAAUACCGCAUGACACCGUGGGGACCUCGGUCCUUGCGAUCAAAGCUGGCCUCUGUUUACAAGCUAGCGCCACCGGAUGGGCCCGCGCCCCAUUAGCUAGUUGGUGAGGUAACGGCUCACCAAGGCGACGAUGGGUAGCCGGCCUGAGAGGGCGAUCGGCCACACUGGAACUGCGACACGGUCCAGACUCCUACGGGAGGCAGCAGUGAGGAAUAUUGCGCAAUGGGCGAAAGCCUGACGCAGCGACGCCGCGUGGAGGAUGAAGGUCUUCGGAUUGUAAACUCCUGUCGAGUGGGACGAAUGCCGUGAGGGUUAACAGCCCUCGCGGUUGACGGUACCGCUGGAGGAAGCCCCGGCUAACUCCGUG
rnacentral:rRNA from 1 species